AGUAAAGUCAGUGAAUAAUUUUACUGUCCUGGUCUAGCAGCUUGGGAACGUGCCAUGUAAAACAAUAACAUCUUCCAAGUCUGAUGCACCGUCUGGUAAGAAGAUGUACUGCAUAUGCCUAGUUACACUUCAGCAAUGCACCAGGAACAGCAACGGAGAGCUGCCUUUGGAGCCACAGAGGGUUUCAUAUUUAAGCCUUUCUUUCAUCAGUGGCUGGACAGACCCUGUGAGGCAAGUUCCUCUGGAAAGCUGCAGCAAGCAGAAGUUUCAGCUGCCAGUUUGUGAGAACUUCAGCUGGUGCCUCCCCUGACAGAUAUCAACAGAAUGUGGUAUUCCAAAAAAUCAAGAUAACGGCUUCUCUGAAGUUACUCAUUUACCUACUGUGUGGAGAAAUGAGGGACUAUCAGAUGUGGGCCACUGGCUGUGGGAGUCAGUGUCUGCUGAUCACCGAGUGAGAUCAGACUCACCCCUGAAGCAGGAAAUGAAGAAGUUUUUUGUGCAAUUACUUUUCAUCUAUUUUUCAUCUGACCUUGCUUCUACAAAAGCUAGAGCUAAAUUCAUCCCAGGGGUUACUCCAAAGAUGAAUUGUAUUUGGUCCAUUGAAUUUGUGACUUAGAGGCUAAAAAGGAGAUAUUUAUGUCAGAGAAAUGUUGCCUGUGGUGGAAUAGAAAGGAAAAAGAGUCCAAUCCCUUGUCCCAGAACAUUCACCUUUGUGGGAUAUUAUUUAUUUUUUCAAGGAUCUGACUGAAACUGAUUUGUCCUCCUUAAUGGCCCACCUGAAAUAAAUCUUAAAGGGCUGCUGUUAUUCACAGAGAUUUGUCACUGUGAUUGAUUGGAGUGACUUGGGUAAGGUUCUGUCCUGUGGAGGAAAUGCACUAAUAGACAGGGAAGGAGAAGGAUCAGCAUCAACACAAUGUCCAAGAAGUCAUCGUCCAUAUCAUCCUACACCUGCUUUUGCUAUGCCAGCCUGCAGAUGGUUGCUUCAGUCGUCAGAAACCUUUGAAAUGGCAAACAGACGCUGUCCCAGCCCGCCCAACCCAAAGAUGUGAACAGUCUCCUUCUCAGCUCCAGCUG